rnacentral:rRNA from 1 species
CAGAGGCCUCAAGCGUUAUCCGGAAUCAUCGGGCGUAAAGCGUUCCGAUAGGUGGUUUUGAAAGUUUUGGGUAAAAGCCAGAAGCUCAACUUCUGUGUUUGCUCAAAAUACUGCAAGACUAGAGGGGCAAAGAGGUGCUUGGAACGAAUGGUGUAGUAGUGAAAUGCGUUGAUAUCAUUCGGAACACCGAAAGCGAAGGCAGAGCACUGGGUGCCACCUGACACUGCUAGGACGAAAGCGUGGGGAGCGAAUGGGAUUAGAUACCCCAGUAGUCCACGUUGUAAACGAUGAAUACUAGGCAUGCGCGAGUAUCGACCCUCGUGCGAGCCGUAGCUAACGCGUUAAGUAUUCCGCCUGGGGAGUACGGUCGCAAGACUA